AGUGAACGCUGGCGGUAGGCCUAACACAUGCAAGUCGAACGGCAGCACAGUAAGAGCUUGCUCUUACGGGUGGCGAGUGGCGGACGGGUGAGGAAUACAUCGGAAUCUACUUUUUCGUGGGGGAUAACGUAGGGAAACUUACGCUAAUACCGCAUACGACCUACGGGUGAAAGCAGGGGAUCUUCGCACCUUGCGCGAUUGAAUGAGCCGAUGUCGGAUUAGCUAGUUGGCGGGGUAAAGGCCCACCAAGGCGACGAUCCGUAGCUGGUCUGAGAGGAUGAUCAGCGACACUGGAACUGAGACACGGUCCAGACUCCUACGGGAGGCAGCAGUGGGGAAUAUUGGACAAUGGGCGCAAGCCUGAUCCAGCCAUACCGCGUGGGUGAAGAAGGCCUUCGGGUUGUAAAGCCCUUUUGUUGGGAAAGAAAAGCAGCAGGUUAAUACCCCGCUGUUCUGACGGUACCCAAAGAAUAAGCACCGGCUAACUUCGUG
rnacentral:rRNA from 1 species